rnacentral:rRNA from 1 species
GACAUAGGUGGCGACCGUUAUCCGGAAUUAUUGGGCGUAAAGGCUGCGUAGAUGGUCAAAUAAGUUAUUGGUCGAUGUCAAACUCAAUUUGACAGAAGUUGGUAAUACUAUUCUACUUGAGGAUAGAAGAAGUUGACGGAACUCUAUGUGGAGGGGUGAAAUCCGUUGAUCUGUAGGGGACCACCAAAAAAGGCGAAGGCAGUCAACUAUUCUACUCCUGACAUUGAGGCAUGAAAGCGUGGGUAGCAAACCGG